UCCGGUUUUUCACCGGCAGUCCCUCUAGAGUGCUCACCAUAACGUGUUAGCAACUAGAAGCAGGGGUUGCGCUCGUUGCGGGACUUACCCCAACAUCUCACGACACGAGCUGACGACAGCCAUGCAGCACCUGUGCAGGAGUCCCGAAGGACACCCCGGGUUUCCCCAGGAUUUCCCCUGCAUGUCAAGCCUAGGUAAGGUUCUUCGCGUUGCGUCGAAUUAAACCACAUGCUCCACCGCUUGUGCGGGCUCCCGUCAAUUCCUUUGAGUUUCAGCCUUGCGGCCGUACUCCCCAGGCGGGGUACUUCCUGCGUUAGCGCCGGCACCCAAGGGGUCGCUCCCCCAGGCACCUAGUACCCAUCGUUUACGGCGUGGACUAC
rnacentral:misc_RNA from 1 species